CUUUUACAAAAACACUUUAUUUAUUAACACCAACCAACUCAAUCAAAUCUCCAUCUGCUAACUAACUCAAUUAAUAAAUUUUUCUAUUAUAAAGAGCAUACAUGUACAAGAGCUUUUAUACCCAAAAAAUUAGUUGAACAACCGUAGUAAAAGCUUUGUGGCAAUCCUCUGUGGAGAAACAAAUUGAAGGGAGCCUGCGGUUCGAACAGGCCAAAACUUUUGAUUAAGGAUGAAACAGUUUCAUUAUUGCAUCAUAACUCAGGUCCUUUCAAGAGGAGCUCAGCCUAAUCUUGAGUGGUCCGAAUUUUUUCAAAAAUAUACAAAGCAACAUAAAAUAUUAUCCUCACGCAAUCAUAUCUUUAAUUUAUAUCAUAUUAUGUGCGCACCCAAACCUUGAAAAAUUGAGAGUGGAGAUUGACUUCAAUUGAUAGGAAAUAAAUUACUAGUUUGAUAUUUCUUCCGAUUUGUUUCAGGUUGUUUGACUUUUUAGUCUAUUUAAAAAGAAUGAUU